CCGGAUUUGAUGGCUGCUGGGGUCGAGGGGGUCGCUGUGGUUCCUGUUUAUUUCCUCUGGCAGUGGUUUUCUAAUUUAAGCACCUCUGUCUCCUGGCUACAGUAGCCUGCUGUGAUGCAGAGUUGGGGAGGGGGGGAGGCGGAAGAAAAAGGAGGAUGGUGGUGGCAUGCCCCGUAGCUACUAAGCCUGGUGCCUAAAAAGGGCAUGCUGGGUUUUAAUCGGUACACCUCUGUGUGCACCACCCAGGCUGACUUUACUCUUUGUGUUUUCUUUGUAGAGGCAUCUGCUGUGCAGAAGCAACACAGAGUGAAGGUCUUUUCUUUUGUUACCGGCACUGAAAGGUCCUCCAUCAAGAUUUCUCUAUCAAUUCAAGUGUAAAAACAAUACUUCUCGGUGGUGAUCCAGUGAGUGGGGAACUAUUUCGCCUUAUACUCACAUUAGUCUCCACGUAGUCCAUCUUCUCCUGUCUCAGUUGAAGAAUCACCAGUGUGUCAUAAUCCCAAGGACGAAAAGUAUAGAGAUACAGAAAGCAAAUCGGAAACAGGAAGAACGGUGAUCCAAACCAUACGGCUUGGUGUAGCAGCUGGUGUUGUGAAUCAGGCCGUUGCCAAAGAGAGAACGGCUACUUCACAACACCAGGGUUGCCCCCUGCCACAAUCAACUGCCCUACAGAAGGAAGCCACCCUGCAUCUAUGAGAAAUGAAAGAUGGAUGGAUUCAACUUCACUGUGGAACAUUUAUGACCUAUUUCAAAAGGAAAGGGUGCUUUUUGCUAAAAUAGCAACCUUCCAAGGCUCCACUAAUUGUUCGUUAAUGUAUAUAAUUGUUAGCCUGUUCUCCUGGACUUGAGUGAGUACAGAUAUGCUUAAAGACACUUAAAAGACUAUGUGCCUGUAUACUGAAUAUAUACAUGUUUGCUAGUAAACAAG